UACGUAGGGUGCGAGCGUUAAUCGGAAUUACUGGGCGUAAAGUGUGCGCAGGCGGCCGAGCAAGUCGAGUGUGAAAGCCCCGAGCUUAACUUGGGAACUGCGCUCGAAACUACUUGGCUAGAGUGUGGCAGAGGGAGGUGGAAUUCCACGUGUAGCGGUGAAAUGCGCAGAUAUCAGGAGGAACACCGGUGGCGAAGGCGGAUCUCUGGGCCAUUACUGACGCUGAGGAGCGAAAGCGUGGGGAGCGAACAGG
rnacentral:rRNA from 1 species